AGAAUUGAGGCGUCGGCCUCUCCAGAUAGCAAGAGAUGGUGCUGUCAAGACAGUGUAAGCCCAGGAGCCCAGGUGGCUGGGCUGUGUCUGCACAGCCUUUGGAUAAGGCCUCAGAAAGAUCAUAGCCUCAGCAUUCUGCCCCACCAAGGGUGCCUUAGAGAGGUCAGGGCUGAGCCUCAUGGAUCGAACCAGGGAGCCCCUGAGGAGCCGAAGGGCGUUGACUCCGAGUCACCUCGGCAGGACUCAAAGAUAGAAAAGGCUUGCCUCAAAAACAUCGGCAGGUGAGGCCUUCGGCUCAUGGAGUAGACCCAGGUGAAAUCCAUGAGAGACAAAGAUUUUGAGGAAAUCACUUUCACAGAAACACUGCCAGCCUGGGUGGGAAGGAACAGAGAGAGCACAGGAUGAAAGGAGGCUGCCAGACUCCCCAGAUUUUGCUGGCUGGAAGUAGGCUAAAAAGCUCCUCAGCUGCAAACAUGGGCAACCUUUCCUUCCAAACAAGUGCAGUGUAGAUGCGGGGACCAAGAGCCCAGACAGGGAAUCCAGAAGCCAGGAGAAUUCUCCCCAGCCCUGGAAACCUGACUGAGAACUCCCAACCUUUACUUUUCUGGAUUUGGAAUUGCUACACAGUCAAGAUGCCUUUUAUCUGCCAUUUCCUCCCCUUGAAAACUGAAAUGUCUACAGCUGCAUCUGGUGCCUGCUCCACCACGGGACAGGUCACUAAUCUCUUUAGCUUCCCGGGCCCAUCCAUGGAGAGGAAUUGUGUCCCAGAACCUGAACCGAAUGAUUGCACCAUGACCCUCCACUGACCUUUGACCUGAUUUAGAUGUUGACAUUUCAGGCUUUGAGCUGAUGCCAUGAAGCUCCGAAAAUCUUAGGUACCUAGAGCAGGUGAAUGACUUUUGCACAUGCGAGGGAGGCAGGGGGGCGUGUGGCAGACUCCCAGGUGCCUCCAGGUGUAACUGCCUUUUAUGUAGUCAUCUCCCCUGAGUCACAGAGAAGGACUGGUGACUGACUUCUAACCAACGGCUACAGCAAAGGUGAUGGGAUGUCACUCUGGGGAUGACUCACAUCACACAGGACUGUCUUUUGGGGAGACUCGCUGUCUCCCUCACUGGCUCUGAAGAAGCCAGCAGCUGCCACAGAUCCUACAACUGAAAGGAGCUGAGUGUUACCAAACACAUGCGAGCAGGGGCAUGCACGCUCCCCCAGUCAGACUCCGCAUGAGAACCCACCCUGGACAUAACCUGGCGACCGCCUUGUGAGACCCCAGCAGGAGAGCCGGCAAGUCUGUCGCUGGACUCCCGACUCACGGAUUCGUUGAGAUAAUAGUGGUUCUUGACUUUCACUUACCUCUCAGUGAACUGUGAGCCCUGCAGAAAUAUUGAAGUGUAAAGUCAUGGGUCCUGGGGAGAAGAGAGAAGUGGAGAAGAAUGGAACUUCUUUUAAGGUUGAGGGUCUGGUACUACACAUUCCGGGAAGUCAAUGCAAGCAGUUCUCACUCUGGAAAAUGCGAAAACCUCCCAAGGUUUCAACAUGUUGGUUUAGAACUAAACCAACCAAAAAUGUUGGUUUAGAACUAAAAAUAUUGGCUCAAAACCAAAAAAGUUUGUUUAGAAUUAAAAAUAAUGG
rnacentral:lncRNA from 1 species